AAGUUAAUUUUAGAUGCAAGCUAUAGCGUUUAAGGCGCAAUAUUAGCUUAGAUAAACCAAUUAUGAGAAAAUGAAAAAGUAUCUAAAAUUAGACCCGAAGGCUAGUGAUCUUACCAUGGUCAGGGUUAUAAAAGCCCGAACGGGUUAUCGUUGUAUAGAUAUCCGAAGAACUGUGGUAAGUUGGUGAAAGACAAAACUGACUAGUAUA
rnacentral:rRNA from 1 species